UUAGGGAAAUUCUGUGCUGCACAACCGUGCAAUCAUAGGUGACGUGACAGGAUACUGCUGGGUACUGAGGCAGGCUUUGUCUCUUUAACGACUUUUUUUUAAAAUUGAUUUAUUUCUAUAGGUCUCCUGCAGCUCUGAGUGGCUCUCAUCUAGUGCCAAAUCCUGGAAGAAGGGUGUUAUCUGUCAGAUUCCUCUUGCUAUGUGAUGUGAGGCAUUCAUAGAAUCAUCAAGGUUAGAAAAGACCUCUAAGAUCAUCAAGUCCAACCAUCAACGCAACACCACCAUGCCUACAUAAAAUCAUGGAACCAUUAAGGUUGGAAAAGUCCAACGUCCCGGGUUUAAAAACAGGGAAAUAUAUGAGCUGUGUCCUGUGACCGAGUUUCCCAGUGAGACAACAGCCCAGGUUUCCAUCUGUACUGGAAAAAGCACCACGAAGAUGAUCUCAUGGAUACCGCUGCUUUUCAGCUCUCUUUCAGCUCUCUUCAGAAUCUGGUAAACUGCACAGUAGGCGGAAGUUUCCAUGAUUAAAUUCCUUUCAGAAUUAGGAAACUGAUAUUCAUUCACAUUCAAGGCUUUUUAAUCUGAUUGUGUGUCAUCUGGCUAGUUAAUUAUUCAAUAAGCUGUGAUGGCCAAGGAAUGUAAAGUGGAAUUGCUUUAAAAUAGCUGUGGUAUGAAAUGGUCCCUAUAAUUAAUGUUGCUUUUGCUCAAACUUUCUCACAACUUCUUGGCAUUGAAUUAAUUCUGUUUUUCACAUUAAUAACUGGGUGGUAUUCAACGCUGUAACAUUUCCUACCUUCUAUUAUGGAUAUUCCUCCUUGUGAGGGAUAGGACCUGCCAUCCUUCAGGGUGAGUUUGCAGGCACUUGUCAGAAUAAAGACUAUGUUAGCGGCUUAGAAAAAAGUUAUAAUUGAAACAUCAUGGGAAAACUGUGCGGGUCCUGCUGGAGCUGGAAGGCUGCAAUGUCUGUCUUCACAGGAUUCUCUUGGAAGUCACUCCUGGUUACACAUGUGCCUAAAUAUUUUGUAGAGCCAGGCCCUCAAAGCAUGCAGAAACACCCACGCUCUUCCAGAGACUAUCCAGGGACACAAACACUUUCCGUUCUCCCUCCAGAGGAACUUGCCUUGUCCUCGCCUUGCUGAGAAGCGUAACCUCAGCAGCAAAUACAACUUCGUCUGGAUGGCAGGGUAGACAUGGUAGCACUCGCCCAGCACUGCUGACACAGGAGAAACAGACAACCACGUACCUGUUGGGGAAUAUCUGAAGGCACAGGGGUUUCUUUUGGCUGCAGAACACGUUUCAUGAAGCAGCUGAAGGAUCCCUGGACUAGUUUUAUGAGUGUUAUUCCAGACAGAGUCUGAAGGCAUCUCGUCCUACAUCUACAGUGUAUAGCUGGAGCAAUGCAAGGAGCUUUCUAAGAGAGUAUACUCAUUUCUUAAAGCCAGGAUAAAACGUUCAACUCCUCUGAUCUAGGAUAAAUAUUUGUUAGAUGUGUAUGAACAUGUGUUUUUGUCUAAGAACAGGCAAGAAAAUUAACUAACUUCUACUCAUGCUGCAAGUAUGAGGGAGGAUGGACAGCAGCUUAUUCUCACUUGGAUACUCUGCUUGAACAACGAAAUGGGUUAGGUCAGGGUUUUCCUCACUUGUGCUCUUUCCAGGUCACUCUGUAAGAGCUGGCCUGCAGCCCUGCUCCCUCCACUGCAUCUCUGAGGAUGAAGGGGGAAGUUUUGCUGCCCUGUGCAUUUCAGCAAGCUGGGGAUGAUCUGUGCAGCCAGCAGGAAAGGAAACAUACCGCGGCGUAGGGCUGUUUGCUGAAAAGCACAAAGCAAACUUUGAAUCCUGCUUAAAAAGAUAUGAUUCAUCUGCUUGCUUGAAUUUGUUCUUUCUAUUGUCUCAGACAGAUUGCCUGGAAAGAAGGAUGCACCUCGACUGCCCAAAGCCCUGGUUUGCUCCGUGUGUGGCAUGCUCGCUUUACAUGGCCUGAAACCUCCAAUUUCCAUUGCUGGCUGGGUCGAUCAUGGUUUUGCUGAAGCGGAUUCUCGGGUGAAGCCACUCUGUGUGCACACCCCGUGGCAGCGCAGGUGGCGGCACCGGCAGUGAGGGGCACCACGCUGUGCCUGACCCCAGCAUCACCCCCACCUAGCCAGCAGCCAAGGGAGCGUGAUCUGGCCAAAAACACCCCUUGGCCUUGAGCAUUUCCAGAGAGGACUCUGUAUACUCACACAAUAUCUCCCUGCCUGCUGGCUGGUAUAAUCAGUAGGCUGAUGGCUCCAGCCUACACUGACUGAAGAGGGAUUUGUCUAAAGUUUAUGUCAGCUCUUUGAGAAUACUUGGGUGAAGUUUCCCUUUUUCAUUUGAAAAAAAAAUAAAAAUAUGUGCAUUGAAAGAUGCAAAAGACAUUCAGGAAAUACACGGUUCAUCGUUUCAGACAGACUGAGCAGUGGGACUGAGCUGAAUCAUUGGUAGGGUCGGUUUUGAUUUUGGAGUGGGUUUAAAUUGUAUAGUUACACUAAAUUCUGAGUGAAGAAAUUGUUCUUAGGUAGCUUCCAGUUUCUACCUUUGUUUUCUCAAACAGUAUUGCUGUGCUUUGCCAGACAUCAGUGCUAUUGUGUGGCUACAGCUAUAAAUUUUUAGCUAGCUAAACAAAUGCUUUCUCGUAGUGCUGCAAAAAAACGUAUAUAAAUAAAUAGGUUCAGGGACAAUUUGUCCAACAAGAAUCUAUAGCACAGAGGGGAUUCUGGAGUCAUCUUCAAAGUGUAUGCUGAUGUUUUUAAAAUGACCUAUGAAUCUCUCUCUAGUUCAAUAAGAGUCCAGAGGGAUUUUCAAUAUGAUAGAUUUGGGUUAUUAAAUUACUGUUGGAAAUGUGAAGCUGACCUCCAGUGGCAAACAUUUCUGUGAAAACAUUGGCAAGCACUUCAUUUGGUGAUCUUUCCUCCAUUGUUUCUUUUCUAAGAUCAAAAUAAACAAUAGAAAUAUAUUGGAUGAAGCAAGAAAACAAAAUAGGCUUGUUUUGUUGCAUUUUCUGAUAAGCAAUAUAGUCUAACUGCUAACAAAUGUUGGAGACAUCUGCUUUUAGCAGAUACUUAUAGUCAAAGAUAACUUUGAACUUGCACGUAAACCAAAAUGAAAUUACAAUCCCUUUUCUGCUGAUUUUCACUAGAGAUGGUGAGAAACAACCCCCCAGUUCC